rnacentral:lncRNA from 1 species
CUAUUUAAAAUCAUACAUCUAGAAAUCAAAGCUUCCCCCCCACAAGAGAAGGAGAAGAUACAGAUAAUUUAAAUAAACCAUCACUCAAAAAUUUCGUUCCUACAAAAUUCACUCCUUUUGUUAUAACUAUCCUAUUACAUUCAAAAACUUACUUAAAAUCCUACUAAUCUAAAAGAGAACCACUAAUCAAAUUCUUCCU